CGGCCUUGACAUACUAAGAACUUUCCAGAGAUGGAUUGGUGCCUUCGGAACUUAGAUACAGGUGCUGCAUGGCUGUCGUCAGCUCGUGUCGUGAGAUGUUGGGUUAAGUCCCGCAACGAGCGCAACCUUUUCCUUAUUUGCCAGCGGGUCAUGCCGGGAACUUUAAGGAUACUGCCAGUGACAAACUGGAGGAAGGCGGGGACGACGUCAAGUCAUCAUGGCCCUUACGGCCAGGGCUACACACGUGCUACAAUGGUCGGUACAAAGGGUUGCUACCUCGCGAGAGGAUGCUAAUCUCAAAAAGCCGAUCGUAGUCCGGAUCGCAGUCUGCAACUCGACUGCGUGAAGUCGGAAUCGCUAGUAAUCGCGGAUCAGAAUGCCGCGGUGAAUACGUUCCCGGGCCUUGUACACACCGCCCGUCACACCAUGGGAGUUUGUUGCACCAGAAGUAGGUAGUCUAACCGCAAGGAGGACGCUUACCACGGUGUGGCCGAUGACUGGGGUGAAGUCGUAACAAGGUAGGCGUAGAUGA
rnacentral:rRNA from 1 species